GCGCAGGUGGAGAAAUUGGCAAACUCGCUACCUUGAGGUGGUAGUGCCUUAAAACGGCUUGGGGGUUCAAGUCCCCCCCUGCGCA
rnacentral:tRNA from 1 species